rnacentral:rRNA from 1 species
AUUGAACGCUGGCGGCAGGCUUAACACAUGCAAGUCGAGCGAGCGGCGGACGGGUGAGUAAUGUCUGGGAAACUGCCUGAUGGCGGGGGAUAACUACUGGAAACGGUAGCUAAUACCGCAUACCAUCAGAUGUGCCCAUAUGGGAUUAGCUUGUAGGUGGGGUAAAGGCUCCCCUAGGCGACGAUCCCUAGCUGGUCUGAGAGGAUGACCAGCCACACGGGGACUGAGACACGGUCCAGACUCCUACGUGAGGCAGCAGUGGGGAAUAUUGCAAAAGGGGCGCAAGCCUGAUGCAGCCAUGCCGCGUGUGUGAAGAAGGCCUUCGGGUUGUAAAGCACUUUCAGCGGGGAGGCGUUACUCGCAGAAGAAGCACCGGCUAACUCCGUGCCAGCAGCCGCGGUAAUUC